CUAUCAGUAGAACAUCACAUUUUUCUUUUCUGUUUGCAGGAAGAAGAUUUGGUGUUGAUAGAGGAGGCAACAUCUUCAAGGCAAAACCUUAGACCUCAUUCAACAUCAUCCAAUGUUGCAAUCACCCUCAGGAGGCACUUGAAGACCAGUGUCCAAUAUGCACAGGAACAUUUCCAGUGUCAGAAGUAGAACUGCCAUGCCAGCUUUUGUGGAGAAAGACUCUCCAAGGAAGGUGAUUUUCAAGGGAUUGACAGGGCUUCCUGUUUUUUGACGUUUCCACAACUUUAGACAUG